CCGCGAAUGGCUCAUUACAUCGGCCGUGGUUCCUUAGAUCGUACUUUUUUACUUGGAUAACUGUGGUAAUUCUAGAGCUAAUACAUGCAGCAGAGCUCCGACCCUCUGGGAACGAGCGCUUUUAUUAGACCAAGACCAAUCGGACCUCGUGUCCGUUCUUUGUGGCGACUCUGUAUAACUUUGGGCUGAUCGCACGGGCUUGUCCCGGCGACGCAUCUUUCAAGUGUCCGCCUUAUCAACUGUCGAUGGUAGGUUAUGCGCCUACCAUGGUUGUAACGGGUAACGGGGAAUCAGGGUUCGAUUCCGGAGAGGGAGCCUGAGAAACGGCUACCACAUCCAAGGAAGGCAGCAGGCGCGUAAAUUACCCAUUUCCGGCACGGAGAGGUAGUGACGAAAAAUAACAAUACGGGACUCUUAUGAGACCCCGUAAUUGGAAUGAGUACACUCUAAAUCCUUUAACGAGGAUCUAUUAGAGGGCAAGUCUGAUGCCAGCAGCCGCGGUAAUAUCAGUUCUAAUAGCGUAUAUUAAAGUUGUUGCGGUUAAAAAGCUCGUAGUUGGAUCUCAGUUCCAGACAGGCGGUCCGCCUAACGGUGGUUACUGCCUGGCCUGAACAACCAGUCGGUUUCCCUAGAUGAUCUUCACCGGUUGUCUUGGGUGACCGACACGUUUACUUUGAAAAAAUUAGAGUGCUCAAAGCAGGCGUAUUGCUUGAAUAAUGGUGCAUGGAAUAAUAGAAUAGGACCUCGGUUCUAUUUUGUUGGUUUUCGGAACACGAGGGCCAAGAAUGUUUUCANUAAUCAAGAACGAAAGUUAGAGGUUCGAAGGCGAUCAGAUACCGCCCUAGUUCUAACCAUAAACGAUGCCAACCAGCGAUCCGCCUGAGUUCCUCAAAUGACUCGGCGGGCAGCUUCCGGGAAACCAAAGUGUUUGGGUUCCGGGGGAAGUAUGGUUGCAAAGCUGAAACUUAAAGGAAUUGACGGAAGGGCACCACCAGUUGUGGAGCUUGCGGCUCAAUUUGACUCAACACGGGACAACUCACCCGGCCCGGACACUGGAAGGAUUGACAGAUUAAGAGCUCUUUCUUGAUUCAGUGGGUGGUGGUGCAUGGCCGUUCUUAGUUGGUGAAGUGAUUUGUCUGGUCAAUUCCGAUAACGAGCGAGAUUCUAGCCUACUAAAUAGGUGUCCCGAUCAACUUUGUCGGGCGUUCUUCUUAGAGGGACAAGCGGCUUUUAGCCGCACGAAACAGAGCAAUAGCAGGUCUGAAAUGCCCUUCGAUGUCUGGGGCCGCACGCGUGCUACACUGAAGGAAUCAGCGUGUGUUUUCCCUGUCCGGUAGGACUGGGUAACCCGCUAAACCUCCUUCGUGAUAGGGAUAGGGGCUUGCAAUUGUUCCCCUUGAACGAGGAAUAUCCAGUAAGCACGAGUCAUAAGCUCGUGUUGAUUACGUCCCUGCCCUUUGUGCACACCGCCCGUCGCUAUUACCGAUUGAAUGAUUUAGUGAGGUCUUCGGACUGGCGCUCGGAGCGGCCUUCGGCCGUGCCGAUGUGCCGGAAAGAUGACCAAACUUGAUCAUU
rnacentral:rRNA from 1 species